CGGCUGAGUAACACGUGGGCAACCUGCCCCUCUCAUUGGGAUAGCCACGGGAAACCGUGGAUAAUACCGAAUACUUCGAGACUUCCGCAUGGAAGACUCGAGAAAGCUCCGGCGGAGAGGGAUGGGCCCGCGGCCUGUUAGCUUGUUGGUGGGGUAACGGCCUACCAAGGCAAUGAUGGGUAGCUGGGUUGAGAGACCGACCAGCCAGAUUGGGACUGAGACACGGCCCAGACUCCUACGGGAGGCAGCAGUGGGGAAUCUUGCACAAUGGGCGAAAGCCUGAUGCAGCGACGCCGCGUGCGGGAUGAAGGCCUUCGGGUUGUAAACCGCUUUCAGCAGGGACGAGGCGAAAGUGACGGUACCUGCAGAAGAAGCCCCGGCUAACUACGUGCCAGCAGCCGCGGUAAUACGUAGGGGGCAAGCGUUAUCCGGAUUCAUUGGGCGUAAAGCGCUCGUAGGCGGUCUGUUAGGUCGGGAGUUAAAUCCGGGGGCUCAACCCCCGUUCGCUCCCGAUACCGGCAGACUUGAGUUUGGUAGGGGAAGGUGGAAUUCCUAGUGUAGCGGUGGAAUGCGCAGAU
rnacentral:rRNA from 1 species